rnacentral:tRNA from 1 species
AGGCCCGUAGGCUAAUGGCAAACCGCUCGCCUCCAGAGCGAGCUUUGGAGGUUCGACUCCUCCCGGGCCUGCCA